ACCUUUUGAUCUUAUCACUCAAGUCUGUACAUCUUUUCACAUAUGGUCUCUAAAUAAGUAAGAAUGUGACUGAAGUAAUGAUUUGCCUGUAAUAUUUUUAACAUAAGAGAGUUCUCUUAACUUUAUUAUUAGAAAGAUAUUAUUUUAUCACAAUGAAAAAUUAAGAUAUGAUAAAAAACUGUGAAGAAGAAAUUGAAAGUCAUGUAUUAAUAAAAUCCAGCUUAUUUUUGUGAACAGAAUUUUAUGCAUGGAUUAGUGUAAGGAUUCAAUAAAUAUGUGAUAGUAGAGACACAAGACAUGUUCCAACUAAACAUACAGUGUGCUGGACAUGUUCAUGUACCUUGUAAACUCCUGGGAACUGAUGUGAGAGAAGUUCUUCUGUGAGGAACAUGGAGAGAAGAUUAAACAGCUUUUGUAACAAACCAGCAGAGAGGAAAAUUGAGAAAAGAUGAGGUCUCAGACUAGGAAAACAGGCAAAUACAUGAAACAACCAGAAAUAAUUAUGCAACAUGAGACCUGGAAGGAGACUUUGAGCAGCUAACAGAUUUCUGGACUGUUGAAUGACUGACAAGAUGAAUGAUUAGACUGCUUUAUCCAGAAAGUUUGAAAAUUUCUGUACCUGGAGUGAUGAGAAAUUAAGUCAUGACUUCAAGUAUUACUUACUUUAUAAAGUUACUUAUCUCUGGUGGAACAUUUUCCUUUAGGGAACAUUGUGUGAACUUUUUUUCUGGAGAGUCAUACCAGAUAAGGCACCAGUGACCAACAAUACUAUGAGGCCACUGAAGUCCAUCCUAACAUCAGCGAAACACUGCUACCUACGUGGGACAAGGCAGGACUGAGAAACUUCAGUCUACAGAGUGAUUAUUUACAGGAACAUGGGCGACCCCCAAACAGCUACACCAAAGAAAAGUCUUACUGCAGAAUGGAUGACAACUUCUCUAAGGCUAUCUUUCAUCAAGGAAACACUCAGAAGAAGCCAAGAAAGUGCUGGUGCUCUGUUCAUGAACUUCCCAGCCUCCAGAAUCAGAAAUCAACAUGCCCCUGACCUCUAUAAAUUACCAUUUCAUGCAUUCUGUUACAUCAGUGAGAAAACAGCUGGGGCAAUAUGGUAAUAUCAUGCAUAAGAUAUUGGCAAGAUACUGGUUCACUGAGUAACACAAAUAUCCCAAAUAUUGUUACAUUUUAUUUUACAGUAUAGUAUUUGCUCCUUAAUACCACAGAUUAUAUUAAAAGCCUCUUUGUUAUGAAGCUGUUACAUUUAUACUGGUCUUUAUAAAGUGUUUCAAAUUACUAAUGCUCAUUUGAAAGUUCAUGUUUUAUCAUUUGCAAUAAACAUUGAAUUGUGCCUUUCUUUGAAGUGACAGGACUACUCUGUUCAUUUCAGAGGAAAUGUGUGACAAAUAUUCAAGUCUAAACACUUAUGGUUUGUUAGUCAGUCAUUGUCUCAAGCAGAAAAUGUGCACAUGAAGAUAAAUGGCUUGUUCAUCUUGCAACCCAAAUGAUUAUAGAUGCCUUUCUUUGUGAGUCUCUGUGGAGUUUCAUUGUUCAGUGAAUAUGCCUUACAUUUAUUCUUUGAUUCGCAGUAAA